CCGCACCGGAGACGUAGACAAGUUUGUUUGCAGAAUAACUCAAAGUCAAAGACAUGGAAGGCGUUCUCGGGAAAUACCUUUGUAUGGUGUGUGGUGCUGCAGUCGUUUUCCUGAUACUUGGCCCCAGCGAGGCUGAAGGACUUCCUUCUGUAGUAUUUGAAACCCUCCCAAAAAUCUUCGGAAGAAAUGAGGAAUAUGCCAAAAACUAACAGGUCAGCCAUUGGGUCUACCAUGUGGGCAACCUGCGUGGGAUUAUGACAUUUCCCCCAAUUCAACAAAAUGUGGAAAGCGAGGUGAUGGCCUUGAAUGAGCAAAUAAAAUUAAAUGAAUAAAGAAUAAUU